rnacentral:lncRNA from 1 species
CAAAAAUGUGUAUUGUAGUAGUCAGUUUAUGACAGUAGUAUAUAUAGAUCAUUAAAAUGAAGAAACUGAAGUGAGUAAACAAACAUGAUUUUUUUUAAUAUUAUUAUUAAAUGAAUAUUAGAGGAAAGAGACUUCAAUGUUCCUGUUUGUGCUGUAGUAUGUAAAUAUAUGCUGGCUUAAUUGCGCAUAUACAUUUUUUUAUAGCUGUAUUAAAUAUAAGCCA